rnacentral:rRNA from 1 species
AUUCCAGCUCCAAUAGCGUAUAUUAAAGUUGUUGCGGUUAAAAAGUUCGUAGUUGGAUUUCUGUGAAGGAUAACCGGUCCGCACUAUGUGCGUGUAUCUGUUUGUCCUUUGCAUCCUCGCGGAAUACGUCACUGUGCUUCACUGCAUGGGGCGGGCUUCGCGACUUUUACUUUGAGGAAAUUAGAGUGUUCACGGCAGGCUCACGCCAUGAAUAUAUUAGCAUGGAAUAAUAAUACAGGACCUUGGUUCUAUUUUGUUGGUUUCUAGGGCUAAGGUAAUGAUUAAUAGGGACAAUUGGGGGCAUUCGUAUUAACGCGUCAGAGGUGGAAUUCUUGGAUUGCGUUACGACGAGCUACUGCGAAAGCAUUUGCCAAGGAUGUUUUCAUCG